rnacentral:rRNA from 1 species
GACAGAGGGUGCAAACGUUGUUCGGAAUUACUGGGCGUAAAGGGCUCGUAGGCGGCCAACUAAGUCAGACGUGAAAUCCCCAGGCUUAACCUGGGAACUGCGUCUGAUACUGGAUGGCUUGAAUCCGGGAGAGGGAUGCGGAAUUCCAGGUGUAGCGGUGAAAUGCGUAGAUAUCUGGAGGAACACCGGUGGCGAAGGCGGCAUCCUGGACCGGCAUUGACGCUGAGGCGCGAAAGCCAGGGGAGCAAACGGGG